rnacentral:rRNA from 1 species
UACAGAGGGGGCAAGCGUUAUUCGGAAUUAUUGGGCGUAAAGGGCGCGUAGGCGGCCUUGCAAGUGGCGGGUGAAAUCCCUCGGCUUAACCGAGGAACUGCCUGCCAGACUGCAAGGCUCGAGACCGGGAGAGGUGAGUGGAAUUCCCAGUGUAGCGGUGAAAUGCGUAGAUAUUGGGAGGAACACCAGUGGCGAAGGCGGCUCACUGGACCGGAACUGACGCUGAGGCGCGAAAGCGUAGGGAGCAAACAGG